UACGUAGGGGGCUAGCGUUGUCCGGAAUCAUUGGGCGUAAAGCGCGUGUAGGCGGCCCGGUAAGUCCGCUGUGAAAGUCGGGGGCUCAACCCUCGGAUGCCGGUGGAUACUGUCGGGCUAGAGUGCGGAAGAGGCGAGUGGAAUUCCUGGUGUAGCGGUGAAAUGCGCAGAUAUCAGGAAGAACACCCGUGGCGAAGGCGGCUCUCUGGGACGGUACUGACGCUGAGACGCGAAAGCGUGGGGAGCAAACAGG
rnacentral:rRNA from 1 species